AGACCAACUUCCUGGGCCACACUUCUUCAUGUAACAGCUGGAGAUGCCGCUGGGAUUUAAGCAAGAAAGAUACGAAAUCAUUCAUAUGGAGAGGCCAUUAGACAAUCUGAUACAAGUCUGGGAAAAGGAAUGACAGAGAUAUCAGGGCCAGAAAGUUGAUUUAGCUUGCUGCCAAGCCUGAUGACCUGAAUUAGAUCACUGAACACACAUCAUGGAGGAAGAAACUGAUUCCCACAAGUUACUCUCUGACCUCUACUCAGUAAGCAAAUAAAUGUCAUUUUAAAAUCA